rnacentral:rRNA from 1 species
UAUCUUUACCUAAUAAUAAAGCAAAUUGGGUUUCUGGUCGUCCGUCGUCGCUCGCGAUUUUGCAUAAAAGUCCCUCGGUUUAUAAGAAAUUAACCCGCAGUCCCUGUUUUAGUGAGUCUCUAUAUGACGUUUUAAUUUUGCAAAAAAAACCCUGUACUCAUUUGAAUUCCACCCGCUGUCCUCCCGUCGUCUUAUCCAUUUCUCCUGCGACAGCAACGGCGGUUUCGCCCAUUCCGUCGUGCGCCGUCGACGGCCACCGCCGUGCCUCGCGCGGGAGGAUGGAGGGCGCUCGCCAGGAGGUUGGAGGACGUUCACCGGGGCGAGUGCUGCGGAGACGGCGCGGCGAGGCGGGGCAGUGGCGGUUGUUGACCGGCCGUCGUGCGUCGCGGGGGAGGAUGGAGGAUGCUCGCCGUGGCGUGCGUGGCGGGAGAGACGGGGUACGGCAGCCGCCGCCGCGACAUGCGGAUGGUCUUCCUGUCCGGCCAUCCGCGCAGCCCACGCAGGCGAGCUGCCGAUCUGGCUGGGCUGCCUGGCCACGCAGCGGACGGCGGCGGUUCGAGCAACUCCUCGACGCAGGGGAAAAGGUUGGUGGUGCUGGAGUUGGUCGGAAUGGGCAGGCGAACGGUGGGUGACGCGAGGCCGCGGCGCCGGCGCGAGGAAUACGGGCGGAUCCGGGGGCGGCAGCGACCGAUCUGGCUGCUGGUGCGGCGGCUUGCUCCUGCUCAUCCAUAGAGAGACAGGGCGUGAGGGAGAUAGGAAGAAAGGAGAAGGAGCAGGGGGCGCAGGGUCAGGGAGGCGGUCGCUAGCGGUGGCGGCUCCGGCGACCGGCCGACGGGCUUGCCAGGCAAGGCUGAGGAGUACACUAGCCUGAGAUUCAAUAGAGGUAUGUUUGAUUUUUAGAAUCGGGCUUAACAGCCUGUUUGCUGUGCUUCAUCUUCUGAAUUGGAAACCAUGGCGUGCCUGAAUAUUUUUUCUAGAACAUGAUGCUUGAGUUGGUAAUCAUUCUUGGGUGAUUGGAGUGCAUGACUUGAAUGGAUUUCUGAAUUCCAAAUAGUAUGCUGUCGUGAUGUUUGAUUAGGGUCUUCUGUGAAUUCGUACCAAAACCAUGCUUGUAUUUUGUUGUUCCCUCUCUCUAAUCCGGGACAGACACGGUGAUUCUGGUCGGGGCCGUGGCUACGUGAUUCUGGCCGGCGUGCAUCCAUAGUCAGAGGACGCCGAGCCUUCCUCGCUGACAGCAACAUCAGCUCGUCUCGGCAUGAGAUAAUUUGCUUCAGUUCAUCGAACUACCUGCUGAAACAUGUGUAUUGUUUCUCAAUAUAUUGGGCAUCAAUCCACCUCUCAUGAGAUCUCUGAAUUUUCGACGCAUAUUGUAUUUGCUGAAUUAUUUCCUCCAGAUAACUAUGCUUGAAUUCACAAAUGCGUGCAAUGCUUUCAAGUAGAGGUUAGUUCAAUACUUAAGUUGUGCUAUUCCACUUUCAAGUUUUUGGUCCUAGAAGUGUAAUACUUGGUAGGUUAGCUGCAAAAGCGGAAUGUAUAUGGCCUGAAUUUAUAUUUCAGAGUGUAUAAUCUGAUUCAGAGUAUUUUGACCCCUUGCGUUCUAAAACGUUUUGUUGUAUCUUUCUGUCCUGAAAGAAUAGAAGCAAUUCUUCUAUGUGAGAGAAUAUAAAUGUUAUUCGCAAACAACAUGCAGCGUCAUUAAGUUUCUUAUUACCAAUUUAAACAGUAAUAGCACAACUAAAGUUUGUGAACAUAUCAUUAUAAAAUGGUCGGUUGGAUUGAGUUUGGUAUGGAUUCUACAAGGGCCAUUUCUAUGGAAUUACAAAUUAGCUUUACAUUUUUAUGGAUGGGUUCAUCGUCUUUGGAUUGCCCAUGUUCGGAUGUGUUUGUGAUCAAGUGGACACCACGACCACCAUCAGUAGGGUGGGAAGGAGGGUGUGUGAUAUUUUUUCUUUUCCC